rnacentral:lncRNA from 1 species
CUGACUGUAGAAGUUCAGAUGGAGUCUGGUUCUGUAGGAGUCCGGAAGGAGGCCGCUCAUUGUAGAAGUUCAGAUGGAGCCCGGUUCUUGUAGGAGUCCGGAAGGAGGCCGCUGACUGUAGAAGUUCGGACGGAGUCUGAUUCUUGUAGGAGUCUGAAAGGAGGUCGCUUACUGUAGAAGUUCGGAUGGAGACCGGUUGCCGUGGAAGCUCGGAAGUAGACCGCUUAUUGUAGAAGUUUGGAUGGAGAUCAGUUGCUGUGGAAG